rnacentral:rRNA from 1 species
GUGUGGAUAGCGGAGAAAUUCCAAUCGAACCCGGAGAUAGCUGGUUCUCCUCGAAAUAGCUUUAGGGCUAGCCUCAUGAGAGUCUUAUGGAGGUAGAGCACUGAAUUGCCUAGGGGGCGUCAAAGCUUACCAAAGCAUAUCAAACUCCGAAUGCCAUCAAGAUGAUUCAUGGGAGUCAGACCAUACGAGAUAAGUUGGAUGGUCAAAAGGGAAAGAGCCCAGACCUACAGCUAAGGUCCCAAAGUACGUGUUAAGUGGAAAAGGAUGUGGGGAUUCUAAGACAACUAGGACGUUGGCUUAGAAGCAGCCAUUCAUUGAAAGAGUGCGUAAUAGCUCACUAGUCGAGAGUCCCUGCGCCGAAAAUGUCCGGGGCUGAAACACGACACCGAAGCUUAGGAAUGUGUAAACAUUGGUAGAGGAGCAUUGCUGGCGGGAUGAAGCCAUACCGUAAGGAGUGGUGGACUGCCAGGAAGAGAGAAUGCCGGAAUGAGUAGCGAGAUGAAGGUGAGAAUCCUUCAGGCCGAAUAUCUAAGGUUUCCAGAGUAAAGCUGAUCUGCUCUGGGUAAGUCGGGACCUAAGGCGAGGUCGAAAGACGUAGUCGAUGGAUAACAGGUUGAAAUUCCUGUACCGCAUAUAAACAGAACUGUGGGGACACAGACAGGGAAUGGAAUCCGGGAAUGGAUAUCCCGGUGCAAGCGAGGUAGGAGUGCUGUUGGCAAAUCCGCAGCACGAUCUGAAGACGUGACGCGUACCGAACAUAAGUAGGGAAGUCCAGGCCCCUGGCUGUCAAGAAAAGCCGCUAUCGUUUUAUAUGUGCCCGUACCGCAAACCGACACAGGUGGAUGAGGAGAGAAUCCUAAGGCCGACGGGAGAAGUAUUGUUAAGGAACUCGGCAAAAUGACUCCGUAACUUCGGGAGAAGGAGUGCCAUGAGAGUGGCCGCAGAGAAAUGGCCCAAGCAACUGUUUAGCAAAAACACAGGUCUAUGCAAAACCGCAAGGUGAAGUAUAUGGGCUGACGCCUGCCCGGUGCUGGAAGGUUAAGGGGAGAGGUUAGCGCAAGCGAAGCUUUGAACUUAAGCCCCAGUAAACGGCGGCCGUAACUAUAACGGUCCUAAGGUAGCGAAAUUCCUUGUCGGGUAAGUUCC